rnacentral:rRNA from 1 species
CACGAGGGACAUGCUCAGUACGGCGAGUGAGCGGCAAGAGCUUCAAAUUUUGAAAUUCCUGGCGUCCGCAGGGCGUCCGAGUUGUAAUUUUGGAGAGGCAUCUUCCGGCGGGGCCCAACCUAUGUUCCUUGGAACAGGACGUCACAGAGGGUGAGAAUCCCGUGCACGGCUGGGCGCCCCCGCCUGUAUGUAGUGUCUUCUACGAGUCGAGUUGUUUGGGAAUGCAGCUCAAAAUGGGUGGUAAAUUUCAUCUAAAGCUAAAUAUUGGCGAGAGACCGAUAGCGCACAAGUAGAGUGAUCGAAAGAUGAAAAGCACUUUGAAAAUAGAGUCAAACAGUACGUGAAAUUGUUGAAAGGGAAGCGCUUGAGACCAGACUCGGCCUAGGGCAAACAUCCUUCCUUCUGGUUGGUGCACUUGCCCCUGGCUGGGCCAGCAUCAGUUGGGACGGCGGGAUAAAGGUCCGGGGAAUGUGGCUCCCCUCGGGGAGUGUUAUAGCCCCGGAUACCAUGCCGCCCGUCCCGACUGAGGACCGCGCUUCGGCUAGGAUGCUGGCGUAAUGGUCUUCAGCGACCCGUCUUGAAACACGGACCAAGGAGUCUAACAUCUAUGCGAGUGUUUGGGCUUCAAACCCUUGCGCGUAAUGAAAGUGAACGGAGGUGGGAACCCCGCGAGGGGCGCACCAUCGACCGAUCCUGAUGUCUUCGGAUGGAUUUGAGUAGGAGCAUGGCUGUUGGGACCCGAAAGAUGGUGAACUAUGCCUGAAUAGGGUGAAGCCAGAGGAAACUCUGGUGGAGGCUCGCAGCGGUUCUGACGUGCAAAUCGAUCGUCAAAUUUGGGUAUAGGGGCGAAAGACUAAUCGAACCAUCUAGUAGCUGGUCCUGCAUUUUCCCUCCCCAGAGAGAAAAAUUUCUUUUUUUAGAGAGAGAACCCCCCUAAAUUGGUUCCUUUAUUCCUUUCGCCCUUUCCCCCUUUUGUCCAUUGAUUUGGCCGUCUAAACCCUUCCGGCCUCCCCAAAAUUUCCCCUUGCUCACCCUAUUUCGGCGAAGUUUACCACCUUUUGGGUCCAACAGCCUGCUCCAACCAAAUCCUUCAAAAACUCAGGAUUGGUUGAUGGUUCCCCCUGGGGGGUUCCCCUCCUUUAUUUUAUUACCGGAGGGGUUUUGAACCCACAUUCGAAAAAUUUUUGAAACCCUGGUCCUGGUUUUAGACAGGGUGCUAAAACAAAUUACCCCCCCCCACCCAAACGGGUCUCAUUCGGAAAGGGGGGCGGGUUUCCCGGGGUUUUAAAUCCCCGGGGGGGCCAGUUCGGGAUUUUUUCCGUCCAAAAAUUUGCCCGGGGGGGGUUACACAGAAAGAAAGAUAUUUUCUCCUCAGAUAUAUUCUAGCCUCUCUCAUAUUUAUUGUGAGUCGAGUACUUAUUAGGAUGUCGAUAUUAGUCCGCUAGGGUGGUGGUUUCUCCGAACUCUUCUUAUUUAAAAUUCAUCAUCGUGUGCCGUCCACGCGGCAGCACAACAAUAAGAGAAGGCGGCGGCUCCAUUUACUGCCUUAAGUAAAAUGAACGAUCGAUCAACGCACGAUCAGUCAUUUACGUAUGUCGUGUCAUGUUGUUGAAUCAGUAAGGCAACGAUUCAGUCCAUCCAAACCAUUUUCCCCUAUCCCAAACCAUUGCCUCCUUUUAAUUUAGCUUUGUCCAAGCCUUAAUUGGGUUGGGGGGGACCCGUUAACCGGAACCUUUAAUAUUAUAUAUUAAAA